rnacentral:lncRNA from 10 species
CACUCUGCCUAGGACGCACCUAAUUGCCCAGCCACAGGCUGUGACAGUACAUGGGAACUGUCCACCAGGAAGUUCCUCAGAGGCUCAGUGCUCGGGGCUGUUAUUGGGGAGUAGUCAUGUGGCCCCCUCUGUCUGACAUGUAUCCGCAUCCCAGGUUCCCCAGAGGAAAGCAGGUGUUGCACAGAAACCACAGUGAUUGCACAAGCAGUUUAGGCUCAGCGAGCCCCACUCACUUAGGGGAUUCUGGGAGCCCUCCCGGAAUCCAGGGUCCCAGACCUUGCCAGGAGAGCCGUCUCAGGCCUGCUGCAUUAGCCCUUCCUGCAUGGCUGGAUAGUGACAGAGAGAAAGAGGAAGAAGAAGCUUAUUUAAAACUAGGAAGCAGCAAGUCGUGAGAGCCAAGAGUGCGCUUGACCUUGUUGGAACCAGGGCACCAGAGCCGCUUCUCAUUGCUGGGAAGUUUGGGGAUGAUGACCCUGACCUUCCGCGUGGUUAUAACCUCACUCCCUUGUUUGUUCCCCCACAGCUGCACCCACCUCCACCCUCACCUGUGACUCAGGACCACAGAAGCAAAAGUUCUCACUCAAACUGGUAAGUGACCCUGCAGGUGGGGGGCAGCUUGGAGGGGAGGGACUUUCACAAACACAUCCUUGACUUCUGAGCCCGUCUGUCAGCUGGGAGAGCUCGGCCGGGGGCCAGGGUCCCCACCUGCAAGGAGUAUUAAGACCGUGGGCGGGGCAGGCGCCCAGUUCUCCAUCAUCCCAGGGUGUUGGAAACCCACAGUUGGAUCCACCCAAGUCUGGCUCUGAUGCUUCCCUGCUGUGUGACCUGGGCAAGCCCAUCCCCCUCAGAGCUCAGUUUCCUCAUCUGUGAAAUGGAGCCACUAAUACCCACAGGGUGUGGCCCAUCUGCCCCCUACCACCGGCCUCGCAGCGUGCUCGUAUCGAGCACCUACUGUGUAUCACCGUGCUGGGUGUGGGGUCCAAAAGAGAACCCAGCAGAUGGGGUCCCUGUGCUGAGGAUUCAGUGAAAUCACACAUCGGGUGCCGAGCAUGAGUCUCAGCAGACAGGACAUGUGCACUCGAGGUUGGGGCUAAAAGGAAACAAAUAGAGAAAGGGAGAGUGGCCACGAGGGUGAAUCACGCCUUCCACACAGAGGAGGUGCCUAACAGAAGGGCAUCGUGGUGGUUCAUAGCCCCGCCAUCAUCCCUGGGUGCUGGGAUUACAGGUGACUCUUAUUUUCUUUUUGUUUAUCAGAAUUGUCUCACACCCCAGAAAACCAGGGACAGCUGGGUCAGUUGCCCUCCCUCCGCCCUAGGUGGAGGCCAUGAGAGUGGGUCAGAGCGUGGGCUGUGGAGCCGGGCUCACUAGUGGUGGGUAGCACCUGCUUUGAGAGCCUGGCAUUGCCUGAGCCGGGCUGUGUUUCAUAAGCACUGCUUCAUUGAAUCCUCCCAGUAGGGCAGCUACCGUGUCCCAUUUAACACUUCUCUGCAUGGUUCAGGUGUGUCUGGCACAGUAGGCACCCCAUCAACCUGAGCUGUUCCUGUUAUUACUACUGUAAUUAUGCUCAUCAUCCUAGAAAUACAGCCUUGCUCUCUGUUCGUGCAUCUGACCUCAUCAACAUUUCCUGAGGCUCAAAACUUGGUGAUGAUGAGUUGGCCCCAGGCCCAGCCCUGGAGAGGCUCCCAGUCUGGCGGGAGCCAUGUCAUGUCCCAGUCCCAUCGGGAAGAGGGGUGGGCUGGGAGGGGAGCACAGGGCACUGGGCCAACCAGAAGACAUUCACCCUCCCCAUCCACUGGGAAGGCAGCUCUGUUCUGAAGCAUUCGAAAGGUCAGGGGCUGAAUGCCCAGUGGUGUUCAUCCAUCCAUUUAUUCAUUUAUUCACCAAGCCUUUCCUGCAACCUCCUGUGAACUGAGUGCUGGGGACAUCUGCAGAGAUGGGUCAGACCCAAUUCCUGCCCUGAAGGAGCUGCCCCCUUGGGGGAGUGGGGCAGGCAUGAAUACCCCACAUGAGAUUGCUCAGGGCCUGCAUGGCUGUGCCCACGUCGCUCGCGUCAGUCACUAUGGGCUUCGCCAGCAUCGUGGGGAGGACUCCAGGACGCAAAAAGAGAAAA